CAGCCGCCGCGGUAAUACGUAGGGUGCAAGCGUUAAUCGGAAUUACUGGGCGUAAAGCGUGCGCAGGCGGUUCGCUAAGACAGAUGUGAAAUCCCCGGGCUUAACCUGGGAAUUGCAUUUGUGACUGGCGGGCUAGAGUAUGGCAGAGGGGGGUAGAAUUCCACGUGUAGCAGUGAAAUGCGUAGAGAUGUGGAGGAAUACCGAUGGCGAAGGCAGCCCCCUGGGCCAAUACUGACGCUCAUGCACGAAAGCGUGGGGAGCAAACAGGAUUAGAUACCCGCGUAGUCCCUGUCUCUUAUAC
rnacentral:rRNA from 1 species